rnacentral:snRNA from 1 species
GGGUCCAGCGGCUGGAAGAGCACCG